rnacentral:lncRNA from 1 species
CCAAUUAUCAUUGGGCCAUAAACAUAGGAUAGUGUAAGUUGAAAACAACAAUCAAAAUUGAAAGCAAAAUGGCGUUUGUACCUCAGUUUUGCUUCAUUUAGUCGGUCUACUUUCUAAAUUCGUCAAAACACAAUUUUAUAUUAUCAAAAUUGAAAGGAAAAUAAAGUUUGGACAAAGGACCUCAUUUUCCUUAAUGAAACCUGGAAUUUGUCUUCAAAAAUUGUAAAAUCAAAAUGUAAAACGAUGAAAGUUCAAAGCAAUUAAUGCUUGAACCUCAUUUUCCCUAAUUAAGUAUGCAAACUAACAUUUUCUCACUAUCAUGUUAAACUUUCCGAGAUAAAAAAAAAUACAUUUUACUACUGAUCUUACACAAAAUAUGUGAGAGAAUAAAUGCAUAAGAUAAACAUUUGAAAACUCAACAUUUCAUUAUUCUUGAUCUCACCUCCAUUUCUAAACGUUUCUGUUAUCGUACUUCAUAAAUGCGGGUUUUCGCGAAUUUCUUGCUUUCCUUCCUGCAAGAAAUCUAAGAUUUAAAAAAUAGCAUUAUUAUCUAAGGCACACUUGUUAAGAUAGAAGGUUAUUCUUCUUAAAUUUCCAUAAUAAUUAUGAAAUUUAGCAAACAAAAAUCACCAUAACCAAAGACCAAUAAAAGAACCUUAGCAAAAGAACAAUAAAAAAAUUGAAAUAUAAUAAUAAAAGACCGAGUAGACAAAUUGUACCAACUAGUAAAGUCAAGCCUCUUUCUCCCGUAGGUUGAACCACUGCUGAACACGUUAAGAGCAAUGUG